UACGUAGGGGGCAAGCGUUGUCCGGAAUCAUUGGGCGUAAAGCGCGUGUAGGCGGCUCGAUAAGUCUGCUGUGAAAGUCCAGGGCUCAACCCUGGGAUGCCGGUGGAUACUGUCGAGCUCGAGUCCGGAAGAGGCGAGUGGAAUUCCUGGUGUAGCGGUGAAAUGCGCGGAUAUCAGGAGGAACACCAAUGGCGAAGGCAGCUCGCUGGGCAGUUGCUGACACUGAGGCGCGACAGCGUGGGGAGCAAACAGG
rnacentral:rRNA from 1 species